rnacentral:rRNA from 1 species
GACGGAGGAUGCAAGCGUUAUCCGGAAUUAUUGGGCGUAAAGCGUACGCAGGUGGUUGAUCAAGUCUUUUGUUAAAGCGCGAAGCUCAACUUCGUAAAGGCAGAAGAAACUGGUUAGCUAGAGUAUGGUAGGAGCAGGAGGAAUUCCCGGUGUAGCGGUGAAAUGCGUAGAUAUCGGGAAGAACACCAGCGGCGAAAGCGUCCUGCUAAGCCAUAACUGACACUCAUGUACGAAAGCUAGGGGAGCGAAUGGG